rnacentral:lncRNA from 1 species
CACACAUUGGAUAGAAGUGAAUAUUUUUCUCUUAUUCUUUGUUUAAUACAGAAGGCUGCACUGCGCACUCUCAUCUGUUACUUGAAUGCAUCUCAAACAGUCUUUCAGAACUCCCACAUGAGGAUGACAAUGAAAGUAGUCAGUAAUUGUUGAUGAAAGCUUUGUAACUUCUGCAUCAUGUAACAAUAUUGAAUUGUUAAGAACAAAAGCUAGUCCCUUGACCUCCUUUGCAUUCUGAGACGGUUUACAGGAAAUUCAGGUAUGGCCAAGGUUUUGUUAUUCUUCCAACUUAGCAAAUGCAAUAUAAGACAGAACUUGAUAAAAAAUUAACAAGAUAAUCUGACAAACUGAAUAUGUAUAUGACCAGUAAAUAUUCUCUCUUACUGAUAGGUUUGGUGUUAUGUCCCUGAGAUAUUCUAGAACUGAACUUGUUGAAGAAGAUUUACUCAUCUUUGCAUUUAUUAUUGCAGUAAAGUCUCCAUAAAUUAUCCAUUGUUUAUUAUAAAAUGUUUAUUUUUUGGAAGGCCUGAGUUAUAAACACUUAUUUCUUGGGAGCAUAAACUGAAUCUAAUGGUUUGUUCAGAUUAUUUAUUACCUAGCCCAUCCAUUUUGAUACAACUCACAAAAAUACUACAGUGCAAAAAAAGAGAACAAUAAUUGAGAAAAUUCAGGAUAUAAGGAAAACAUUAAUGAGAAAAAUGCAGCUAUGACAGCCAUUAAAACUGAGAAUCAAAAAUUGAUACUGCAGCCACAUCUCUGAUGCUUUGCAUUACUAAGAUUGCACCAAAACUUCAAAAAUCACGAAGCUUAUUAAAUCACAUUGCUCUUCCUUUAAUUUUAACAAGAAUUAAAAAUUCUUAUUAAUAAUAUAUUUAAGAGCAAACAUGUUUUUGUUCUUGAAUAAAUAAUGUAAAAUAAUUAUUAUAUCUUUAUUAUAGUCUUUUAAAUAUUUUAAUUAUGAGUAAUAUGGUAUCAAGGUAGUACCUGUGUAUAAUAAAUACCUCUGGAGGCUACUGAUAGCAGAGAGCACAACUCUAGGGAAAGCCUGACUAUUAACUUUUGUUCUAAAUAGUGAGGGUAGGGGCAUGAAUAGAUUUAUAUUUUGGUGACUGUGAGGAAGAUGAAUCCAAGGGGUAAGACCAGUUAGACAGUGACAGUAAUACCCCAGAUUAGAAAUAAUAAGGACAUGGGGCAAAGAACAAAUACAAAAGGAAAGUGGGGGCAAGUUCAAGAAAUAUUUAAGGGGGAAAUCAAUGAUUUAAUAGAUAUAACAAUUGUCUUCAUUUUGCAAAUUGUAUCCAGGCCAACUUCCCAACGUGUAGACUCCAUACACAUUUCUAAAAUAUUUUGUCAUGAGAUACAUCACACAUGCAAAGGGUUUAGAGUAUAUAUAUGCACAACUUAAAGAAUAACAAUAACACGAACAACCUUGCUUUUCUACCUUGCUUCAACUUAAGACAGGGAAUAUUAUGAGAAACUUAGAAGCCCCUGGCGGCCCCUCACCAGUCAGAGCUGCCUUUCUUCUUCUAGAGCUAACCACUAUGCUGAAACUUGUAUUAAGCAUUCUUUUGCUUUCCUUAGGAUUUUACCAUUUGUAUUAUAUAUAAAAAAGGUAUCUCUAAACAACAUAUCGCUUAAUUUUGCCUGCUUUUAUGUAUCUAUUAAUAUACAAAAUUGAUAUACAAAUACAACCAUGUUUUGAUAUACCAAUUAAUGAUAUACCAGCACAACUAUAUUUUGUGUAUUACUGUGAUACAUUUCUUUUGUUUUGCCUUAGGUUUGUGAGCCAUCUGUGUUGACAUAUGUGAUUGUAGUGGAAUAAUAUUUGUUACUUAAUACCUUCCAGUGUAUGAUUAUACAACAGAUUAUAUAUCCAUCCUCCUGUUGAUGAGUGCUUCUAACUUUCUGCUAUUAAGCAUAACACCCUAUCUACCAGUUAAGACUGGUUGUAACAAAAUAAAGAAGAAUGCUGCCACAUGCUGUGGUGCAUGCCUGUAGUCCCAGCUACUGGGAGGCUGAGGCAGGAAGAUCUCUUAAGCCCAGGAGUUCUGCACUGUAGUGCGCUAUGCCAAUCAGGUGUUUGCACCAAGUUCAGCAUCAGUAUGGUGACCUCCAGGGAGUGGAGGACCACCAGGUUGCCUAAGGCGGAGUGAACCAGCCCAGGUCGGAAACAGAGCACGUCAAAACUUCCGUGCUGAUCCGUACUGGGAUCACGCCUGUGAACAGCCACUGCACUCCAGCCUGGGUGAUAUGGUUUGGCUGUGUCCCCACCCAAAUCUCAUUUUAAAUUGUGGUUCCCACAAUCCCCAUGUGUCAUGGAGGGACCCCAUGGGAGGUAACUGAAUCACGGUGGAGGUUACCUUCAUGCUGUUCUCAUGAUAGUGAGUUCUCACCAGAUCUGAUGGUUUUAUAAGAAGCUUUCUCCUUAUUUGCUCAGCACUUCUCCUUGCUGCUGCAAUGUGAAGAAGGCUGUGUUUGCUUCCCCUUCUGCCAUGAUUGUAAGUUUCCUGAGGCCUCCCUAACCAUGCUGAACUCUGAGUCAAUUAAACCUCUUUCCUUUAAAAUUACCCAGUCCCACGUAUGUCUUUACUAGCAGCGUGAGAACAGACUAAUUCACUGGACAAUAUAGUGAGCCUUGUCUCUAAAAAAAAUUCUUGGGAAGCUGAGGCAGGCAGAUCACUUGAGGCCAGGGCUUUGAGAUCAGCCUGGCCAACAUGGCAAAAUCCUGUCUCUACUGAAAAUACAAAAAUUAGCCAGGUGUGUUGGCACGGGUUUGUAAUCCCAGCUACUCAGGAGGCUGAGAUAUGAGAAUCACUUGAACCUGGGAGGUAUAGGUUGUAGUGAGCUGAGAUCAUGCCACUGCACUCCAGCCUGGGUGACAGAGCAAGACUCUGUCUUAAAAAAAAAAAAAAAAAAAAAAAAGCCCUAUUAACAUUCUUCAACAUGUCUCCUAUUCAAUUUGUGCAAGAUACAGUACACCUAAAUGUGAAAUUAUUGUGUCACGGGUUAUGCAUAUAUACUACUUUACUAGGCAAUGCAAAAUUUCUCUACAAAGGGAAUGUACUAGCUUCCACCUCUGUCAGUAAUGACAGUUCCCCUUGCUUAAUAUCCUCAAUAACACUUAGUGUUAUAAGAGUUUUCUAGGCUGGGCGCGGUGGCUCACGUCUGUAAUCUCAGCACUUUGGGA